AGUGAACGCUGGCGGUAGGCCUAACACAUGCAAGUCGAACGGCAGCACAGUAAGAGCUUGCUCCUACGGGUGGCGAGUGGCGGACGGGUGAGGAAUACAUCGGAAUCUACUUUUUCGUGGGGGAUAACGUAGGGAAACUUACGCUAAUACCGCAUACGACCUACGGGUGAAAGCAGGGGAUCUUCGCACCUUGCGCGAUUGAAUGAGCCGAUGUCGGAUUAGCUAGUUGGCGGGGUAAAGGCCCACCAAGGCGACGAUCCGUAGCUGGUCUGAGAGGAUGAUCGGCCACACUGGAACUGAGACACGGUCCAGACUCCUACGGGAGGCAGCAGUGGGGAAUAUUGGACAAUGGGCGCAAGCCUGAUCCAGCCAUACCGCGUGGGUGAAGAAGGCCUUCGGGUUGUAAAGCCCUUUUGUUGGGAAAGAAAAGCAGCAGGUUAAUACCCCGCUGUUCUGACGGUACCCAAAGAAUAAGCACCGGCUAACUUCGUG
rnacentral:rRNA from 1 species